AAAAAUGCUUUUUCUCUCAAGGACAAGCUGUGAUGGGGAGCGAAAUUUAGUAGCGAAGUUCCUGAUGUCACACUGCCAAGAAAAGCUUCUAGUGAGAAAGUAACUGCCCGUACCGCAAACCGACACAGGUAGUUGAGGAGAGAAUCCUAAGGCGUGCGAGAGAACUCUCGUUAAGGAACUCGGCAAAAUGACCCCGUAACUUCGGGAGAAGGGGUGCUGACCGCAAGGUCAGCCGCAGUGAAUAGGCCCAAGCGACUGUUUAUCAAAAACACAGGUCUCUGCAAAAUCGAAAGAUGACGUAUAGGGGCUGACGCCUGCCCGGUGCUGGAAGGUUAAGAGGAGAGGUUAGCGCAAGCGAAGCUUUGAAUUGAAGCCCCAGUAAACGGCGGCCGUAACUAUAACGGUCCUAAGGUAGCGAAAUUCCUUGUCGGGUAAGUUCCGACCCGCACGAAAGGCGUAACGAUUUGGGCACUGUCUCAACGGGAGACUCGGUGAAAUUAUAGUACCAGUGAAGAUGCUGGCUACCCGCGACAGGACGGAAAGACCCCAUGGAGCUUUACUGCAGUUUGAUAUUGCGUGUUUGUAUCACAUGUACAGGAUAGGUAGGAGCCGAAGAUACCGGGACGCCAGUCUCGGAGGAGGCAACGGUGGGAUACUACCCUUGUGAUAUGACCACUCUAACCCGCUGCUCUUAGCGAGCAGGGAGACAGUGUCAGACGGGCAGUUUGACUGGGGCGGUCGCCUCCAAAAAUGUAACGGAGGCGCCCAAAGGUUCCCUCAGAAUGGUUGGAAGUCAUUCGUAGAGUGUAAAGGCAGAAGGGAGCUUGACCGCGAGACCUACAAGUCGAGCAGGGACGAAAGUCGGGCUUAGUGAUCCGGUGGUUCCGCAUGGAAGGGCCAUCGCUCAACGGAUAAAAGCUACCCUGGGGAUAACAGGCUUAUCUCCCCCAAGAGUUCACAUCGACGGGGAGGUUUGGCACCUCGAUGUCGGCUCAUCGCAUCCUGGGGCUGUAGUCGGUCCCAAGGGUUGGGCUGUUCGCCCAUUAAAGCGGUACGCGAGCUGGGUUCAGAACGUCGUGAGACAGUUCGGUCCCUAUCCGUCGCGGGCGUUGGAAAUUUGAGAGGAGCUGUCCUUAGUACGAGAGGACCGGGAUGGACACACCGCUGGUGUACCAGUUGUUCUGCCAAGAGCAUCGCUGGGUAGCUAUGUGUGGACGGGAUAAACGCUGAAAGCAUCUAAGCGUGAAGCCCCCCUCAAGAUGAGAUUUCCCAUCACUUUAAGUGAGUAAGACCCCUGAGAGAUGAUCAGGUAGAUAGGUUGGGAGUGGAAGUACAGCGAUGUAUGGAGCGGACCAAUACUAAUCGGUCGAGGACUUAAUC
rnacentral:rRNA from 1 species